rnacentral:tRNA from 3 species
UCCGGUAUGGUGUAGUGGCUAACAUUUCGCGCUCUCAACAUUCAGCUGAGGGACCAGUUCCGCGGAGCCCAGGGUUCGAUUCCCUGUACCGGAG